AUUAAAGGGCCGCGGUAUUUUAACCGUGCAAAGGUAGCAUAAUCAUUAGGUUUUUAAUUAGAAUCUUGUAUGAAUGGUUCGACAAAAGAAGUACUGUCUUUGUAUUAAAAUUUGAAUUUAACUUUUAAGUGAAAAGGCUUAAAUAUAUUAAAGGGACGAUAAGACCCUAUAAAACUUUACAUUGUAAUUUUAUUUAAUUAAAUUUAUAAAAUAAAAAUUUGAUUUAAUUAUAUGUUAUGUUGGGGAGACAGAAGUAAAAUAAAUUUUAACUGCUUUAUGUUAAAACAUAUAUUUAUGAAAUAUUAAAUGAUCCUUUAUAAAGAUUAAAAGAUUAAGUUACUUUAGGGAUAACAGCGUUAUUUUUUUUGAGAGUUCCUAUCGAAAAGAAAGUUUGCGACCUCGAUGUUGAAUUAAAAUAUCUUUAUGGUGCAGAAGCUAUAAAAGAAGGUCUGUUCGACCUUUAAAUUUUUACAUGAUUUGAGUUCA
rnacentral:rRNA from 1 species